rfam:Schistosoma rodhaini strain Burundi genome assembly, scaffold: SROB_scaffold0017076
CAGCUGACGAGUCCCAAAUAGGACGAAACGCGCGUCCUGGAU